rnacentral:sRNA from 1 species
GAGGUUCGACCCGAGCGAAGCGAGAGAACGUUGCGUCAGCAACGGCCCGCAGUGGCAAGUCAUCCUCUGUCACCGGCAG